GCCUCAGGAACUUCCACAGGGUUGUCUGACGCCCAUCCAGACACCCAUGAGACCUGGUAAAGCUCAGGUCCCAGGGAAGGGGAUGACACCAGCCAGGCCACCCAGGCAGGCCUACCUGGCCAGGGCUUCACACUGCUCCGUGAAGUGGGAAGUGAUGUUACCCUACCAAAGAGUGGGACUGGCCAUGACACAACUCCAGAGUAGCAACAGGACUUCGAUACCAGAGACCUCAAGGGCUGGCCAUGAAUGGGCAGGCUGAGUCCUCAGCUGGCCUAGGCCUCAUCCAGGUUAUUUUCUAGGGACUGAAAAGCAGCCUAUGCUGAAAACUCUGACUCUUCACCCAGGCCUGGCACGUGUUCUGUGGGAGACUGGACAAGAUGAGAACACUUGGCAUGGGCCUUCAUGUUAUGCCUCUCCCCUUUGUUCCCUUUUAACCUUUGGGUCAGAUUUUUAUACUCAGCUCUUGAUGUGGACAUGGUCAUUUGAAAAGUGUUUUGUCCCAAACUAUAAUGUAGGGUAGACUUGCCUGGUCUGUCUGUCUGUCUGUCUGUCCGUCUCUCCCCCCCUCCCUCCUUCAAGGCUAACGGCACUUGCCAGCCACCAUGACUGGAAACACCAAACCAUGAAAGGUGUAAAAAGAGGUGGCACCAGAGUUCCUCCAGGAUAUUUAGACGAAAACAGUCCUUCCCUUAAUAGCCUUGUCCUCUGCCCUGUUACUCCUCCUAGUCUGUAUCUCCAACUCCUCAAGUUCCUGAAAUGGAAAAGCUAUUUUGUGAGCAAAGUUCCCACUUCUCCAUUCU